rnacentral:rRNA from 1 species
AUGAAGAACGUGUCCAACCCCAUCAUCAUCGACCAGUACUACUGCGACCAGCCGACGCCCUGCGCGAACCAGACGGAGGCUGUGGAGGUGCGCAAGGUGGAGUUCGUGGACGUGAGGGGCACGUCGGCGAUGACGCAGGCGAUCAAGAUCACGUGCAGCGACACCGUGCCGUGCCGGGAGCUGGAGCAGAGGAACGUCAACCUCACCAUGGUGGGCGGGGGCGCGGCGACGGCCUCUUGCUACAAGGCGUCAGGCAAGGCCGUCGGAGUAGUCAUCCCGGCCUCCUGCCUCGCCAAGGGUGACCCGUGGCCGUGA